AACGAACGCUGGCGGCAGGCCUAACACAUGCAAGUCGAGCGCCCCAGCAAUGGGGAGCGGCAGACGGGUGAGUAACGCGUGGGUAUCUACCUAGUGGUGCGGAAUAGCCCAGGGAAACUUGGAGUAAUACCGCAUAAGCCCGAAAGGGGAAAGAUUUAUCGCCAUUAGAUGAGCCCGCGUUGGAUUAGCUAGUUGGUGGGGUAACGGCCCACCAAGGCGACGAUCCAUAGCUGGUCUGAGAGGAUGAUCAGCCACACUGGGACUGAGACACGGCCCAGACUCCUACGGGAGGCAGCAGUGGGGAAUAUUGGACAAUGGGCGCAAGCCUGAUCCAGCCAUGCCGCGUGAGUGACGAAGGUCUUCGGAUUGUAAAGCUCUUUUGGCGGGGACGAUAAUGACGGUACCCGCAGAAUAAGCCCGGCUAACUUCGUGCCAGCAGCCGCGGUAA
rnacentral:rRNA from 1 species